rnacentral:rRNA from 1 species
GAUGAACGCUGGCGGCGUGCUUAACACAUGCAAGUCGAACGGAAAGGCCCAAGCUUGCUUGGGUACUCGAGUGGCGAACGGGUGAGUAACACGUGGGUGAUCUGCCCUGCACUUCGGGAUAAGCCUGGGAAACUGGGUCUAAUACCGGAUAGGACGAUGGUUUGGAUGCCAUUGUGGAAAGUUUUUUCGGUGUGGGAUGAGCUCGCGGCCUAUCAGCUUGUUGGUGGGGUAAUGGCCUACCAAGGCGUCGACGGGUAGCCGGCCUGAGAGGGUGUACGGCCACAUUGGGACUGAGAUACGGCCCAGACUCCUACGGGAGGCAGCAGUGGGGAAUAUUGCACAAUGGGCGCAAGCCUGAUGCAGCGACGCCGCGUGGGGGAUGACGGCCUUCGGGUUGUAAACUCCUUUCGCUAGGGACGAAGCGUUUUGUGACGGUACCUGGAGAAGAAGCACCGGCUAACUACGUGCCAGCAGCCGCGGUAAUACGUAGGGUGCGAGCGUUGUCCGGAAUUACUGGGCGUAAAGAGCUCGUAGGUGGUUUGUCGCGUCGUUUGUGUAAGCCCCCAGCUUAACUGCGGGACUGCAGGCGAUACGGGCAUAACUUGAGUGCUGUAGGGGAGACUGGAAUUCCUGGUGUAACGGUGGAAUGUCAAAUAUCAGGAGGAACACUGAUGGCGAAAGGCGUGUCUCUGGGUGUUACCUGACGCUCGGGAGCGAAAGCAUGGGGGAGGGAACAGU